GGGGGGGGCAAGCGUUGUUCGGAAUUACUGGGCGUAAAGGGCGCGUAGGCGGCCUUCUAAGUCAGACGUGAAAUCCCUCGGCUCAACCGAGGAACUGCGUCUGAUACUGGAAGGCUUGAAUCCGGGAGAGGGAUGUGGAAUUCCAGGUGUAGCGGUGAAAUGCGUAGAUAUCUGGAGGAACACCGGUGGCGAAGGCGGCAUCCUGGACCGGUAUUGACGCUGAGGCGCGAAAGCUAGGGGAGCAAACGGGAUUAGAUACCCCGGUAGUCCUAGCCCUAAACGAUGAGUGCUUGGUGUGGCGGGUAUCGAUCCCUGCCGUGCCGAAGCUAACGCAUUAAGCACUCCGCCUGGGGAGUACGGUCGCAAGGCUG
rnacentral:rRNA from 1 species